CAGCAAGCCUGGCAAUGGCGCGCCCCUCCCCCAGCCUCGCUGCCGCCUUGCAGUUUGAUCUCAGACUGCUGUGCUAGCAAUCAGCGAGACUCCGUGGGCGUAGGACCCUGCGAGCCAGGUGCCGGAUAUAAUCUCGUGGUGCGCCGUUUUUUAAGCCCGUCGGAAAAGCGCAGUGUUCCGGUGAGAGUGACCCGAUUUUCCAGGUGCGUCCGUCACCCCUUUCUUUGACUCCGAAAGGGAACUCCCUGACCCCUUGCGCUUCCCAAGUGAGGCAAUGCCUCGCCCUGCUUCGGCUCGCGCACGGUGCGGGCACCCACUGGCCUGCGCCCACUGUCUGGCACUCCCUAGUGAGAUGAACCCGGUACCUCAGAUGGAAAUGCAGAAAUCACCGGUCUUCUGAGUCGCUCACGCUGGGAGCUGUAGACCGGAGCUGUUCCUAUUCGGCCAUCUUGGCUCCUCCCCCCCCCAUGUAAGUUUUCUCAAAUGCAAACAUUUUUGAACAAGUUAAUGCUGUAUUUAUUCAGAAAAAGAAUAAGUUGGAAUUGGGAAGAGAAAAGAGAGGUAAUGCAGAUGACGGAACAGAAAAGUGUGUUUUUGCAAUGCCUUGUUAGAAGACAAAAAGGAAACAAGUCAAUCCAGGUGAAUCCUGAACAUUUGUCUCCUGGAUCAGUGUGGAGAAACAGCCACUGUCAACGAGGGGCUGGCAGAACCAGGGCACGUGGCUUAGCCAUGACCUCACGUAUUCUCUCACGGUGUCAUUAGGGAUAGUACUCGGACUAAUAACCCUGAGCAUCCCAGAGGAGGUUGGCCAACAGCUCUGAGGCCCCCCACGGCAUGUGUGUAAGGAUGCAACAGUUUGUCUAAUGGCUAAAGGAGAGAAAGCAGAAUCAGGAGUGGAUAAUACAGCUGGCCUUUCAGAGAAGGAAACACAGAAGAAUCCUCGUGCACCAAUGGAUGAGGCAGACGUUAAAUCCGCAGCACACUCUUCUCAGGGGAGCCUUCCUAAAAAAAUCGGUCCCUGUUCUAUGGACUAUGAUCCCAAUCUCUUAAAAGAAGACGAUGAACUACACUCUCAGGGAGAUAGCCUGAUGGAUCAUUCUGUGAAAGGAAAAUCAACUGUUUGGAGAAUUGGAGAAGCUGAAGAUUAUUCACAGGACAUAUCUUACUUGGAGGAACUGGAGGAACACCGAUUUUCUGUUUGGUGGCAUGGCUUACAGGCUGGAUGA
rnacentral:lncRNA from 1 species